GGUACCUGAGGAGAGGUUGUCUGUGAUGGGUUCGCUUUAUUAAUGACGAAUAUAACACAGAUGGCCUGUUUUCAGUACC
rnacentral:pre_miRNA from 1 species